rnacentral:rRNA from 1 species
UACGGAGGGUGCAAGCGUUAUCCGGAUUCACUGGGUUUAAAGGGUGCGUAGGCGGUCUUUUAAGUCAGUGCUGAAAUAUCCCGGCUUAACCGGGAGGGUGGCAUUGAUACUGAAGGACUUGAGUUCAGUCGAGGUAGGCGGAAUUGACGGUGUAGCGGUGAAAUGCUUAGAUAUCGUCAAGAACACCGAUAGUGUAGACAGCUUACUAGGCUGAAACUGACGCUGAGGCACGAAAGUGUGGGGAUCAAACAGG